UACGUAGGGGGCAAGCGUUGUCCGGAAUCAUUGGGCGUAAAGAGCGUGUAGGCGGCCCGAUAAGUCCGCUGUGAAAGUCCAGGGCUCAACCCUGGAAUGCCGGUGGAUACUGUCGGGCUCGAAUCCGGAAGAGGCGAGUGGAAUUCCUGGUGUAGCGGUGAAAUGCGCAGAUAUCAGGAGGAACACCAAUUGCGAAGGCAGCUCGCUGGGACGUUACUGACGCUGAGACGCGAAAGCGUGGGGAGCGAACAGG
rnacentral:rRNA from 1 species